GCUCAGGACGAACGCUGGCGGCGUGCCUAAUACAUGCAAGUCGAGCGGACAGAUGGGAGCUUGCUCCCUGAUGUUAGCGGCGGACGGGUGAGUAACACGUGGGUAACCUGCCUGUAAGACUGGGAUAACUCCGGGAAACCGGGGCUAAUACCGGAUGCUUGUUUGAACCGCAUGGUUCAGACAUAAAAGGUGGCUUCGGCUACCACUUACAGAUGGACCCGCGGCGCAUUAGCUAGUUGGUGAGGUAACGGCUCACCAAGGCGACGAUGCGUAGCCGACCUGAGAGGGUGAUCGGCCACACUGGGACUGAGACACGGCCCAGACUCCUACGGGAGGCAGCAGUAGGGAAUCUUCCGCAAUGGACGAAAGUCUGACGGAGCAACGCCGCGUGAGUGAUGAAGGUUUUCGGAUCGUAAAGCUCUGUUGUUAGGGAAGAACAAGUGCCGUUCAAAUAGGGCGGCACCUUGACGGUACCUAACCAGAAAGCCACGGCUAACUACGUGCCAGCAGCCGCGGUAAUACGUAGGUGGCAAGCGUUGUCCGGAAUUAUUGGGCGUAAAGGGCUCGCAGGCGGUUUCUUAAGUCUGAUGUGAAAGCCCCCGGCUCAACCGGGGAGGGUCAUUGGAAACUGGGGAACUUGAGUGCAGAAGAGGAGAGUGGAAUUCCACGUGUAGCGGUGAAAUGCGUAGAGAUGUGGAGGAACACCAGUGGCGAAGGCGACUCUCUGGUCUGUAACUGACGCUGAGGAGCGAAAGCGUGGGGAGCGAACAGGAUUAGAUACCCUGGUAGUCCACGCCGUAAACGAUGAGUGCUAAGUGUUAGGGGGUUUCCGCCCCUUAGUGCUGCAGCUAACGCAUUAAGCACUCCGCCUGGGGAGUACGGUCGCAAGACUGAAACUCAAAGGAAUUGACGGGGGCCCGCACAAGCGGUGGAGCAUGUGGUUUAAUUCGAAGCAACGCGAAGAACCUUACCAGGUCUUGACAUCCUCUGACAAUCCUAGAGAUAGGACGUCCCCUUCGGGGGCAGAGUGACAGGUGGUGCAUGGUUGUCGUCAGCUCGUGUCGUGAGAUGUUGGGUUAAGUCCCGCAACGAGCGCAACCCUUGAUCUUAGUUGCCAGCAUUCAGUUGGGCACUCUAAGGUGACUGCCGGUGACAAACCGGAGGAAGGUGGGGAUGACGUCAAAUCAUCAUGCCCCUUAUGACCUGGGCUACACACGUGCUACAAUGGGCAGAACAAAGGGCAGCGAGACCGCGAGGUUAAGCCAAUCCCACAAAUCUGUUCUCAGUUCGGAUCGCAGUCUGCAACUCGACUGCGUGAAGCUGGAAUCGCUAGUAAUCGCGGAUCAGCAUGCCGCGGUGGAAUACGUUCCCGGGCCUUGUACACACCGCCCGUCACACCACGAGAGUUUGUAACACC
rnacentral:rRNA from 1 species